rnacentral:rRNA from 1 species
AUUGAACGCUGGCGGCAUGCCUAACACAUGCAAGUCGAGCGGAGAUGAGGUGCUUGCACCUUAUCUUAGCGGCGGACGGGUGAGUAAUGCUUAGGAAUCUGCCUAUUAGUGGGGGACAACAUUCCGAAAGGAAUGCUAAUACCGCAUACGUCCUACGGGAGAAAGCAGGGGAUCUUCGGACCUUGCGCUAAUAGAUGAGCCUAAGUCGGAUUAGCUAGUUGGUGGGGUAAAGGCCUACCAAGGCGACGAUCUGUAGCGGGUCUGAGAGGAUGAUCCGCCACACUGGGACUGAGACACGGCCCAGACUCCUACGGGAGGCAGCAGUGGGGAAUAUUGGACAAUGGGGAAACCCUGAUCCAGCCAUGCCGCGUGUGCGAAGAAGGCCUUAUGGUUGUAAAGCACUUUAAGCGAGGAGGAGGCUACUGAGACUAAUACUCUUGGAUAGUGGACGUUACUCGCAGAAUAAGCACCGGCUAACUCUGUGCCAGCAGCCGCAGUAA